CCACGCAGCUGGGGAGUUAGCGGUGCCCUGUACCUGCAAUCCGCUACAGCAGGAGUGAUGCUUUGCCUAGGGUAUUCUAUUGUAGAGCAGCCCUAUAUAAGUGAUGUUGACGCUUGGGUCUUACGCAACAAAAAUCUAUGAACCGUGUCAGGUCAGGAAUGAAGCAGCACUAAGUAGAACCUUUUGUGUGCCGUAAGGCUGCCUGAGCCGAGUUAACUGUAUAGGUAACGUCUAUGGUAGAUAUUCAAAGUGAGGCGCGUGG
rnacentral:SRP_RNA from 1 species